rnacentral:tRNA from 1 species
GGAGAGGUGGCUGAGUGGCUGAAAGCGCUCGACUCGAAAUCGAGUAGGCGGAUAAAAUCUGUCUCGGGGGUUCAAAUCCCUCUCUCUCCGCCA